rnacentral:rRNA from 1 species
GUGAGGAAUAUUGGACAAUGGGCGCAAGCCUGAUCCAGCCAUGCCGCGUGCAGGAAGACGCAUCUAUGGUGUGUAAACUGCUUUUGUACGGGAAGAAACACUCCCUCGUGAGGGAGCUUGACGGUACCGUAAGAAUAAGGAUCGGCUAACUCCGUGCCAGCAGCCGCGGUAAUACGGAGGAUCCAAGCGUUAUCCGGAAUCAUUGGGUUUAAAGGGUCCGUAGGCGGUUUAAUAAGUCAGUGGUGAAAGCCCAUCGCUCAACGAUGGAACGGCCAUUGAUACUGUUAGACUUGAAUUACAAGGAAGUAACUAGAAUAUGUAGUGUAGCGGUGAAAUGCUUAGAUAUUACAUGGAAUACCAAUUGCGAAGGCAGGUUACAACUUGUGGAUUGACGCUGAUGGACGAAAGCGUGGGGAGCGAACAGGAUUAGAUACCCUGGUAGUCC